CUGACACCAAAAAAUGGUCUUUCCCUUCCUAACUGGCCUGCCCGCUGCUUCAGACCUUCACCCUACAGCUGUAGCCACCUCUAGUAGGCAUCUGUGCUGUCUGUCCCUGCUUGGACCCAGCCCCAAUCAGAAGCCCAGAGAGCCAUCCUGCCCCUCCCCCCCCACAGGUGCCUGGGCCCCAUCCAUGCCUGCCCUGUGCUCUGGUUCCCCGAGAUCUAACCCUACUAACCAAUAGGCUCUCCUAACUUCUGAGCCUGAAACAUUUCUCUUCUUUUUUUCUUCCUUCAAAUUUCCCUGGGUCUGGAGCAGCCAAGAAUUUCGGGCUCUUUGACUUUCUGUGAGUCCCCAGGAAAGGGAGGCCCAGCCUCCAAGGAGACCAGGAACUCUGCUUCAGCUCCCUCAGGGCUUCCCAAGGAUGUCCAGCCCCCACAGGACCCACACUUCAAGGUCACUAGGCUUUUGGGAAGGGCCUCAGCUUCCCCCAUGCAUAACUGACUACUCUUUUCAGAGAGAAGUAGAGAAGUUCGCUCCCCUCCACCUCAUACACAUAGAUAUACAUACACAUGUGAGUCUCUCCCCCCAACCCCUGGUCUCUGUCUCUCUGUCUCUGUCUCUGUCUCUCUCUCACGCCUAUGCAAGUUUACAGAAGCCUCAGGGCUGGUCCCUGGCCAGAGGGCUGGACCCUUUUUCCAAGUCAUCUCCUAGAUAGUAGGGCUGGUCCCUGACGUCCUCUUCCCUUCAGCUAGCCCUUAAGCUUCCCUUACAUGUUCCCAACAUCUUUGUACUUAGAUAAAAGUCCAAAAGCUGGGGCUCACCAGAGGGCUCUCCGGUAACUGACAGAUCAUUCUCUACUUCCCUUCUGCCCCACAUCUCUGGGUACCUGCUCUGUUUCAUCUUCCCCAUGAACCCUGGGGACACAGGCCAGUUGAAGCUAUACGAGCAGACAACUGGGGCUUCCAGACCGUUCCAGUUAACUGUUUUCUACCUUAAAUCAUAAUUUCCUCCUUAAAACACCGCUAUAAACUCUGACUUAUCCAGACUCUUUAAAUUUUCAGUCAAGGGUGUCAGCUGAGGAAAUAGCUGUGUAGUGCUUGCCUAGCAUGCCCCAGCAAAUGUCUCCCCCAUCAAGAUGUCCUUAGCCCAGGUUUGGGGGCAACCUGAGGUAGGGAUAUUUUGACAUUCAUUUAACAUAUUUCCAGGGACUUUAAUGAACAAAGGGCUAUGUUAGAAGCAUGACUUGAUCUUCGCUGUCUUCAGUUCUCUCUGACUCUGCCUUUUCCUGUUCUCUUGAGAAUCCCUCACCAGUGCUCCCAUUAUCCUGCCUUUGGCUCAUGUCCCUUUCUUCCCCCCUUUCCCCCAUAGUGUCAGCCACUCUCUUCUUAAGCUGUUGAUGUGCUGGCCACUUCUAAAUCUGGAUCUCCCACCCCAGCUUCCCCUCUCUUUAGAUCUGUUUUUAUUCCCCACUGGACAUCUCCCCAGGCUUGUCCAUAUGUCCCCAGCCAAGUAUUAUUCCUCUCGAAUUCCUGCCCUUGUGACCUUCAUUACAAGCCACACCUACACGGGCUUAGUCAGCAUCUCACACCCUUAUACUCAGACACUCUGAAGUUCAGCUGUUCCUCUCCCUUCCUUACAUUACAGAGCAUGGGAUUUGGAGUCAGGUUGGUUUGGGCUUGAUUUCCAGCUCUAUCAUUUUUGAUUGUGUAAUAGAGUUAUUUAACCUCUCUGGAGCCUCAGUCCUCCCAUAUGUAAAAUGAUGAUAAUAAUACCUACCUCACAGGGUUGUUGUGAGGAUUUAAAUUAGAUAUUGUACGAAAAGUGCCUAGCACAGUGCCUGGCACAUAAUAGAGUAGGUGCUCAAUAAAUGGUAGCUAUUAUUAUUACU
rnacentral:lncRNA from 1 species